GCCUGAUGGAGAGCCAUAACAUUCACUGUAGGUACCUCGGUGUGAAAAUAAUUGUCUCAGAGAAGCGCAAUGCGAACCUGUUUGUCACGUUCCUUCCCCCAGAAAACCACGGCAGGAACAAACCUCCUCCCCUCACCCAGGCCCCGCAGAAACUGUGAUUUCUGUCCCUGCAAGCCUUCCAGUGCAAAAGGUGGGAAUAUCUCCAUUUGGGGGAGCGCAUCCGUUUGGGGAUGGGUAGCAAAAAGCAGCUUAAUUGCAUGAUGAGCAACCGUUCUUCUUUUUGUUGUUGGAGUUUGUUACAGCUUUUAAAAUCUCUCAUGUAUUUAAAGCAAAGACCGUGAUCCCUAAAGCGUGGUUGGCUCUCACCUCUUCCAGAGCAUCUUCUAGAGCCACAGUGCUCCUGGUACCUGUUUCUGCAAGACGAGCGCCACUGCGGCCACAUUUAACAGAGUGAAGGAAACAAAUCUCCAUGCAGGAGCAGCGGUGGCUUAGGCUUCCCUAGGUUAAUCUGGAGCUACAUACCAUGGAGAGCAAUCCACAUUGAAAUACUAACCCGGAAAAUGCGAUAAGAGAGAGUGGAAGUGCUGGGUACAGUCCCCUGUUUCAAAGCUGGAAUCAUUGCUGCCUAAACUUCUGGAGAAGGGCUUAAAGAAGACUUAGGGGGCUUGUCUUUUAUCUUUUGUCUCUCCCAACAGCCUUAGGGGAGGUUUUAGUGGGAAGAGUGGGAGCGAAGUACAGCUGCUGGUCAUACCCACAGCACCUGGGCUUGGGUACCAGCCUGAGCUCUGCAGGUUUGUGGACCACAAAUCAAUGUUCUCAGCUAAACCCACCAAAGGCUGAUCAGGUUUCAUACAUAUCACUGCCUGCAUGCUCUGAAAACCAUAACAGUUCCUGCAAGUAGACGCGAGGCCCGGCUUGUGUUGGAGAGCAAUUUUGAGCCAUGAUGAUGAUGAAGUGGAAAGAGAUUCAUCCGACAUGAAUCUCAGGGCUGGCAGGUGGGUAAAUGCAUCUUUCUUGUGAGCUCGCUACAUGUGCUUUCAGUGGGGCUUGUCAGAAUCGCUCUGUGGGUUUGCAAACUGCUUUUCAAGGUAAAAAAUGCAACUUAACGAUCAGGAUAUGUGUCUCUCGCCGGAGCCUCGCAGCUCGGUGCUGCGCUGGGAUGCUGCGGCCCUGCCGGGUGCUGCCCCUCCAGGCAGCGCUGAGCCCAGAGAGCACAGACGUGAACUGCAGCACAUUUGAGGAUGCUCACGCUGAGCCUUGACUCGGCUGCUUGUUCUGAUGUCUCCAGACCUGGGAAUUGCAAAAAUGAGCAAAACUUCCUAAAAGAACCAGGAGGGCUUGCAGAGGGGCAGUACCAGGACCACCCCUGUACCUGCCCUGUGACUGGUCUUUCUUUUAAUACCAGUAUUAGCUGGGAAUCAAUUGCUCCUUGCUCUGCACUGAUACACACACAGAGCCAAGCGCCCGAAGGCGGGAGAUGUGUCUCCACGCGCUCACAGCGAGCUGGUUAUGCGGUUUGGUUCGAUCGCUGUGACCAUCCCUGCGUGGAAACCUGCAAUGUUUCUGUCCCUGUCUGGGUCUCUGCUUGUGUGACCUUACUGCAGAUUCAGACUAUAGAUUUAGUUCAAGUACAUGCACUAGGGUGACAGAUCGGCCUCAGAGCUGGCUCUCAACAUGGGUCUCAUCGGUGAAUUUAGCACUUAAGCCAUCUCCUGGUCUCCCUGCCCCAGCUCUACAUGGGAACUGGCUCCUGCAUGAGGUUUGAACCUCACAGCCCAUGCCAAAGCCUCCAGUUCCCUUGGUUUAUCACAAACCAGUGCUAGGCGGGGCUUUUCUCCUCCUAAACUCACCUGGUGACCUCCGGAAGAGAUUUUUCUGCAAGUAAAUGAGGGAAGUGACAGCUCCAGCUGGUUCCUCUGCAUUGGAACGGGGCUGAUCUUUCCAUGGUCAUCCACAGGUCAGAAGCCGAUGGGGUACGGGUGGAACUCGCUGUUUUGUGAGGAACAGCCCCAAAGCAAAGCACUGGGGUUUGCAUCACCUCUCCUGCUUUGAGGGGCUCUGAUUUCAAUAUCAGAUAAUCAGCUCCUGUAAAGAUGUGCAUGUGUCAUGAACUCAUUAGGAUUUUUGAGGUCGUCUUCUUCUCUUCCCUUUUAGAACCACGCAAUCAAAACGAGAGUCAUCUCCAGAUGUUCUUGUGAACAGGAGGAGAGCGGUGAACCCUCGGGGGGGCCGGGGUGUCCGUCUUUGCAACAACCGGGCUCUUUAUCUUCUGUAAAACCCAACAGUGGCACAAAUACCUGAUUACCAGGUUUAUCACAUAAAAAUGGAAUGUAAAUGGUCUUUUGUUGCACUUUAAAUUGUGAGAACCAAGGGACAGCUGAGCAUUUCUCCUGCUUACUUUUUUAUGUUAAUAAGAAGGUUAAUUUAAGAUGAGACUCCUUGUAGUCGGUAAUAGUUGUGCUAAUCAAAAAGUUGCUCUGAAAACCAGAGGGCUGGGAUGAAGGACGGAGAUGUUUUGUUAUUCAGAUACCUGGACUCGUCAUUUUGGGUUUAAAGACGCCUUUGUGCCCCGUGCUCAGGUCUGUUGUUGUUUAACAUCUCCAGCAAUGUCCUGCUGAGGAAUAUUUCCAGAAAACAACAAAUAUGUGAAAAAUAUUAAUGGUGAGAUAAUUUUGAAUUAAGGAAAAAACAAUAUUUGUGUCAAGAAUGCGAUUGUAAGAGUCGUAGUCGUGAAACAGUAACGCAGGCUGGGAUUUAUGUACCAAAUUACAAUGAACCCACGGUACCCACUUUUCAGCUAUGGAGUUUUCACAACGAGCUGCUCAUUCAGCAUCUGCAGGUGAAGAAUUAUUAGCAGGAAACUUCACCGUAGCCUCAGUACAAAAAUAAAGCUGAUAGCGGGAGAAGCAGCCUGUGCUCGUGCCCUCGUCUCUCACCAUCUGCGCUUCCCUUGUGCGUUUUGCUUUUAUUAAGGUAUUUUUAGCCUUUUUUUCUUUCCUUAGAGCCUUGCUGCGGUUGACAAUCCCUCUUUAAAAUGUUGAGAAGAAAGCUGGAGCCUUUUCUUAUUUAUUUAAAGGUACUGAAGUCCCCGCAGCUGGGACCCAGGGAUGACAAUGGGGCUGUUGUGGCUUCCCCUUGGCUCAGAACAAUCUACGGAGCAGUGACCUGUGGACACCCCUCAUUUUCUGCCAGGUUAAAGAGUCACCGGUUCCUUUGGCUGAAGAGGCUGGAACCCGCCGGGGAUGCUGCAGGAAAGAGAAGUGUCAGGUUUUUACCCAGCUCUUGUGUAAAUCCUGCUCCCGUGGUGAACUCCUCCUGAGCCAAGAGGUGACUGAUGAGAUGCUCACACUCUUCCAAACCCCUUCGUCCUCAAUCCCCCAAAACCUGGUUGUCUGACUCAGGUGUGUCCCCAGCAAAGGGAAAGGGAGAAACCACACCAGCCCUUCACAAAAGGGUCUGUUCUGCUCAGACACCACUGGAUUCACCUGAGUUCAGGAUGACAGCUCCUCUCCGUCACUCUGGAGGGAACUGAUUGAUGCUGAUGUACGAUGUGCUCAUGAUCCUCCCCUCCCACGCAAUUCCAUUUCCACCACUGCACAUGGUUCUGUUGCAACACCCGUGGAAGAUCACGGGCAAAUUAAGUUCUUUGUAUUAAAUAUUUUUCUCCUGCUUAAAAACAUGAGGAAAUUAGACCCAGAGUAUUUAACAAAACAUGCCAAAAAAGCAAAGCUGCUAAGCUCUUAAGAGUUUUCUUUCUGGUUUUACUGCGCACGUUGCUAUACUCACAUAAUUACAGCCAUCCAUGCAAUUAAAACUGCUGAUGUGAGAGUGGAGGUUCUGUGCUAUGAGACAUUUAAAAUCACAGCAAUAGGACGUUUGUCCAUCCUUGAAGGAGCGGUGGGUGAUCAGGAAGGUGGAGAAGUCCUGCUCAAGCUCUGCCGACAACUGUGUUAAUUGUGUUGGGAAAUUAGAGGUGAGCUCUCGAGUAUCAUUGCAGCUGAUACCCUGCAGGUGUGAACCUCCCAUACUUGCUCAGAGGGCUUUAAAACUGUGUUUUCUUCACCAGUUUAGCUCUAACCCUUGGGUAUUGUCCCGCAUUUACGUCUCAGUUUCCAAACCAAUUUGUUUGCUGCUAUUAAAAACCCUUUUGGCUGCUUUACUGCGAAUGGGCUGAUACAAAAUUCAGCAAAAAGGUUAGUGUUUCUUUUUCAUCUAAGACCAUUUUUAAAGGGUUUUCUCUGGGUUGGCGAAGGUUGGGGGGUUUGGGCCUUUUCCUGGCAGGCUGAGAACUGGGAAAGAGCUGAGUUCUCUCUUUUUUAAUACAAGUCACCUUAUAGCACAAGGUAAGGAAAUCAAGAUGCCCUCACCCAGGUUAUCAGAAGCACUGAAAGUAUUUAUCAUUAAAUAGUGGUGAUAUAAACAAAAAGUAACACCUUUAGCCAUUGAGAUUAGAAGUGGAUUUACUUUCUUUUUCCCAAGUAUAGCGCUGUAAGAGCUCUGCGCCAGCACAGCAUGGGGAAUGUAAAGCUUUUGAAGGGCAUUCAGAAGGCAAAGUAAUUAAGUAAAAAUACCCAAAAACGUACAGAAUUUAAACCCCCUCCUCCAAGUCGCUGAUUUGUAAACUGCAUUUUAAAUUGGAGCUGCCAAUCAAAACUUCCUCUUAGAGACUGUUAGCACAUAGUAACCUGUCCUUGGUCUGCUUUAAGGCCAUUUUAAUUCUGCUGGUUUACCAGCUUUAAAUAAAGCUGUUCCUUUUUAGGCUUCUAUUUCAAAGAAGUAACUUACGCAUUCAGAUACACAUUCACUUUGUCCUUUUCCUCUGGUAUUUCAAGGAAGCUGCAAAACCCGGGGUUUAUUUGCUGUUUUAUUUGCUGUUUAUUUCCUAUUGCACUCAGGGCCCUUGGUGAAGAGUCUCCUGGCCUGUAGCACUUGGACGCCAGUUCAGACGUGGGUUUGGCCCACGGGCUCCACUCCGUCCUCAGGUGUGUGCUCAGAAUCCAGCAGCUUUCCCCCCGUGCUCAGCAUCUGUAGGACGAGAACCAUUUCCCAAUUUUCAUUACAACAGGCAACGCUGCUUCUUUUUAUUGGCCACAGAAAACCAGAUUUCUUUAAAAUGUAAAUUUCAAAAAUACUUAUAUUUUUAUCUUUCGUCCCCGAGGUAUCACAGGCUUUACAAACCCUUUGUCAUUUGGGAUUGAUUGAUGUCAAUGGGAGUUCUCUACUGGCUCCGAUAGAUGUUUGGCCGGUCCCAGGGCGCAGCAAUGCAAUGAUCUCUGUGCGGGAGCACAGCAGCUGUUAAACCUCAUGAAGGGAUGCUCAGGGACAAGAGGAGAUGCUUGGUCAGGCUGAAUAAAAUAGAGGUAGCACAUGGGUAGGUAUCUGUGAACCCCUGAAGCAGUAAGACAUCAGAGACAGGUCUGGGUGUGCUGGGCUGUCCUCUUUGCCCCCUGCUCUUUGUAGGACGGGGUUUCUCCCACCAGGAUUUAGCUACACCCCAUUAUAUGUCUCCACAUUGUGUUUUUGCAGCUAGUAUAGUUAAAGAAACAAUGAUGUUUUGUGUGGGACACCUACCUGUGUUUCUCAGGGACCAGCUUGUAGAAAUGUCUCAAUAUGUGGUGUAAUAUAGACAUAGAACACAUCACGUUUUUGUAAGGUGCUUGGUCAGUCUGUGCUGCAGAUCCCCCCGCUCCCCCAAUUCAUAACGAUCUGUCCGUCUGCAGUGCAAGAUUAAUAGCAGCCAGUUGGAGAACAUUAAGAUGACAUUAUCUCAAAGGAGAGCAAACACCAUUUGAAUUAAGGGUUGUAAUGGGACCGGCACUCCGAGUUUCUGUGGGAAAAGGUGGCUGCUUGUGCCCAUGGAAAAGGCCCUGAUGCACAGAUUGGCGUUAAACCCGGCCCACAGCAAAACCUGGGCACUUGUUUUUUGCUCAGAGAGACGGAGGUCCAACCUUGGGGCCAGGACGGCACCGAAGGGACCACAAAAUGCUGAUGGUUAUCAAGAGUAUCACCCGAGGGUUUCUGAACACCGAGAUUUCAGACACGUGGGACUAACAGCUACCUUCCCACACGCAGCCCUGCGUGAAGAGCUGGUAGGUUUUCUUCUGAAGAUCUAAAAGCCGAGGGGUGAGACCCCAAGAGACGCUUUAAAGCCACCGUCCUGCUUUCACACACUUGCAAGAAGCCAAGCGCAAGAAGCAGCCGAAACCUGCCGCGGCUCCUCUCUCCUCCUCCGCUCCCCGGCUCUGUUCUGGGGACCUUUGCGUUUGUCCCUCCCCGAGACGCACGUGUCCUCUCCUUGUCCUGCUCUGAACUAUCCCGUUGCAGCUUUUUCUCCCAAGAUCGGCACUAAAAAUACUAUAAAGGUAAACCCUGGGGUGGCUGUUUCCACUGUUUCAUUCUCCACCUGCCUCCUCCUUCCCAGGCAAUUUCCCCAGCAGCUGAGCCGGCUCUUUUAUCCCAGUGGAAACUGGGUAUUGAUCUCACCACUUUACAAAGGGAGGGAAAACACGGCCCCUUUCAUCUUCUCCUUGCACAGACUGAUCCCCUUGUCCGGUUGGCGUUUGAUGACGGGAGGGUUUUAAUCCAGAAGGAUUGGAAAUCUUUACCUGAUCAAAGAGUCACCCCGCAUGGCAAAGGCUUCAGACAGGGGCUGCAGCGAACAGGUGGAAAAAUAGGGGAGCAAAAGGGAUGCCCGGCUUGGGAACCGGUCUCAGGUGUUUCUGGGGUUUUAAUUGCAAAUCGAGCUCAGCAUCGUGUGGCAUAAACCCUUGCUCAGGUUGGCUGCAGCCACCUCUUCAAAUGAAAUCCAAACUCUUGUGUGUUUGUUUUAAUUCCCCCUCCUCCCUUCUGCUUCUUCAUUAACUCAGUCAUUUUUGAGCGAACACCCAAGCUGUAAAUCUGAGGCCAUUUAGCAGGUGAGGUGAACUGUGAAAAGCAGAUUUGCACAAUUUGCAGAUUGCUCGUUGAGGUGCGAGCUAAUGCUGCUGACUCACAAACUGAUCUGAUGCUGUUGGCAAUCCCUCCCCAGCCUCCAGCUAUUUCUAUCCAGCCCUUCACCUCUCUCAGGUUUUGGCAGCAUCCAAAGUUUAUUCCAAGAACAGAAGUUUUCCGCGUCCAGCAAAGCCACCUGUUUUUCCCCGAACAGUGCAAAUUGCCUCUUCCAGACCCUGACCCCAAAGCUGCGUUUAAGUGGUCUCAGCUUAGACUAGCGAUUAGUAUUCAGGCAGGAGAGCCGGCUGCGGCGGGAGCGGGAGGGACAGCUCGGCUCCAUCUUUAUUCAUAAUCCCAGCGGCGUGUUUGCUCUCCGGGUUCAGGUUGCUGCAUUGCCAAAGGAACCGGCUCCGGCCGAGCUGCAGAGGAUCCCUUGGGUGCUCCGAGGCUUUGCUGGUUUUUAGCAUUUCUGCAUCAUUUCUGCGCUCAGACUCUCACCCAGCCCGUGAGGGGCAGAAAAUCCCGCUGGCUCGGGGCUGGUGCUCACCAGGACAACCCUCACCAGCCGCGGCACCUCCCUUUGUGUCUGCGGGGUGUUCUCUCCCCAUCACAGCCACUUCUGGUCGGUCCCCAUCUCCUGACAUAAAACCACCUCCAGGUACCAGUGUUGCGAUCACCUGGAAAUCUGUUUGAGGGGUAGCCAGGCAGGGGGGAAAGGUCUCCUGGCCCUGAGCAUUGUUCGUGCUGACCCAGACCAGGAAAAGACACUUGUUGUUCCAGCCCAAGGGCCUUUAGUCUGGAUUUUGUGCAGAAACAGGGAUGAUUUCUUUAAUCACACUUCUCACUAUAGUUUGCAUCAUUCUCCCGGAGGAUAACAAGCUCUGGAAGUUUAGCAACCUCUCGCAGGGUGAAGCGGCCCCCAGGGCUGGGGUUUGUUGGGAGAAGGGGGUGAGGGUUGCGAUGCUCUAGGGGAGCAGGUUUUCGACUGUGCCUCCCUGGCUGGAGACUCCACGGUGUCCUCAGCAGCCACAAAACAGCUGCCACAAGACAAGCAUCCUGGGAGCUCCGUCCUCACGCUGCCCAGGGAAAGGCAGUGAUAGAUUAAUCUGAACAAAGAUUAAUCAAUAAUUUAUGCUGGUGUUUUCUCUCACUUGGGGUUUAGACAGACUUUGAUAUGAUUUGAUGGGGUCAGACCCACUUUGCUUUAAUUAAACGUGAUGCUGAAAAUUAAAAGGAAAACCUAUUGGCUACUGGAACUGAAAUCAAUCCGUGAUCAGUAACGAGAGACUGAUUAAAGAGGUGAUGCCCAGGAACGAAAGGACAGAUUCAGCAGACGCUUUCUGAAGGCCAGAUUAGCAGGAUAUAUUGAAUGUAAAUACACCUAUUGGCAUUUUGUCAUGGCGUGGCCUUUAGCGAGCGAGCUGUUUGCGUGCGGUGAUAAAUGGCUUUGCACCAGGGAAGGUGCUGCAGGAAUUCAGGGCUGCACUGGCUGCUCUCCCGGAGCAUCACGGGGGUGUCGGGACGGCGGAGUGACGGGGGGAACUGGGGCAGCAUCAGCAGAAACACUGGGCCCCGUGCUUGGUGGGGUGCAGGCAGGUUAAGGCAGUGGGAAAUGCAGUGCGUUGGGGUUUUUUUGGCAGAGAGUCGCCGUGCAAAGGCAAACGGGUGCGGGAGCACGGGCAUGGUGAGGGACCGGGGCUGGGAGCAGCCGGUCCCUGUGCCCGCUCUCGCGUUUCUCUCCGGCUGCCGAACUGCGGUUGGGUUUUGCAGAAGCGGAGCUGCAGCAGCAUCACCAAACACAUUCCGGACUGAGAGCACGAGGGUGGUUAAUGACAGACCCAGCACUUUGCAGGGGCUAAUUAGCAGCAUUGCAUCCGCCCAGGGAAAGAGAUGCUGUAGGAGGAGAGAUGCUGGAGGGAGGAGGUUGAGAGCGGUGCUCUGACAGCACAGGGCUUGGGAUGGGGAGAAUAGAGACACCAAAACCAGUGCUUUCAGGGGGAUAAGCGUUCCCCCUGAGAAUGGGUCAGGGUUUCGGGGACUCCAAACUGAACUAGGGCUGGCUGGGGGAAUCUCGUGGGAAAGGGAGCAGGUUCUGUGUUGGGCUCUUGUCAGUAAAGAUGUCAAUUGUCCUGAAAUCCAGAAAUGGUGGCGGGGAGGAACGCUUGACUCUGGUGAAGCUCUCACCUGUCUCCAAAGUGACCGGGCUCUUUUAUAACUUCCCUGUCACUUUGCAGGGGGAAGGAGGUGGUGGGGAGGCAGGACCAGGCUGCAGCCAGAGGUACCGGAGUUUCCGAGGCUGCAGGCAGGAGAUGGAAUCACCCCGGGCAGGCAGAGCGGGGAUGAAGCGCCCUUGGUUAUCUCAUGGCAUCUGUUAGCUGGGACCCCUGGCUGGAUCUUUACCAACUGCUUGAAAUCGACUGUGCGAAGCUGCGAAUGUCAGAAGGAGAAGAGUUUCCAGCUUAACCCCGCUGAUAAACACUCUCUGUGAAGCUGGAUGCUGUAAAACGGUGCCGAACACCCACGCGCUGGCUCCAGGAGAUCCCAGGAAGGGAAAAUGCGGUUCAAAAGACUUCGUAAAGAAAAAUUAAUGAUAAAAAUAUUCUCUUGUAAGUCAGCCAGAAGUUGUAGGCUCAGACUCCCGCUCUGGUUUACAGCUGGGUUCACAGGCGGUGCAGACAUCCCGCAGCUGCAUCCGAACCUGGGGAGAGCUGCUAAUGCUAAUAAAAACCAGUGCAGGAAAAUCUGUGCUAUAGCAUCGUUUACUUAGGAAAAUGUGAACAAGAGGCAGCCCCGGCACCGCUGAGGUGUGUGCGGAGCUGUCUGGAAGCCCUUGAGGGCAGCACGUACCCAUGCUGCCGUCAGCUGCCAUGGAGAGGAGCGGGGAGGCGAGCAUUUUGGGGAUGCUGCCCCCCAAAUCACCCCCAAGAGCUGCUGUCCGAGCUCAGAAAGCCUGGGGAGUGGGUUUGCAGCUGGGGGAGGCUGAGCUGGGGCUGCUACAGCCCUGUGGAGAGAAAAGAGCCAAGACCAGAGACGUGUCCAUC